AUACGGAGGGGGUUAGCGUUGUUCGGAAUUACUGGGCGUAAAGCGCACGUAGGCGGACUGGAAAGUUGGGGGUGAAAUCCCGGGGCUCAACCCCGGAGCUGCCUCCAAAACUUCCAAUCUAGAGAUCGAGAGAGGUGAGUGGAAUUCCAAGUGUAGAGGUGAAAUUCGUAGAUAUUUGGAGGAACACCAGUGGCGAAGGCGGCUCACUGGCUCGAUACUGACGCUGAGGUGCGAAAGCGUGGGGAGCAAACAGGAUUAGAUACCCUAGUAGUCC
rnacentral:rRNA from 1 species